GAUGAACGCUGGCGGCGUGCCUAAUACAUGCAAGUCGAGCGAACGGACGAGAAGCUUGCUUCUCUGAUGUUAGCGGCGGACGGGUGAGUAACACGUGGAUAACCUACCUAUAAGACUGGGAUAACUUCGGGAAACCGUAGCUAAUACCGGAUAAUAUUUUGAACCGCAUGGUUCAAAAGUGAAAGACGGUCUUGCUGUCACUUAUAGAUGGAUCCGCGCUGCAUUAGCUAGUUGGUAAGGUAACGGCUUACCAAGGCAACGAUGCAUAGCCGACCUGAGGGGGUGAUCGGCCACACUGGAACUUGGACACGGUCCUGGCUCCUACGGGAGGCAGCAGUAGGGAAUCUUCCGCAAUGGGCGAAAGCCUGACGGAGCAACGCCGCGUGAGUGAUGAAGGUCUUCGGAUCGGAAAACUCUGUUAUUAGGGAAGAACAUAUGUGUAAGUAACUGUGCACAUCUUGACGGUACCUAAUCAGAAAGCCACGGCUAACUACGUG
rnacentral:rRNA from 1 species